UACGAAGGGGGCUAGCGUUGCUCGGAAUCACUGGGCGUAAAGGGCGCGUAGGCGGACUUUUAAGUCGGGGGUGAAAGCCCAGGGCUCAACCCUAGAAUUGCCUUCGAUACUGGGAGUCUUGAGUUCGGAAGAGGUUGGUGGAACUGCGAGUGUAGAGGUGAAAUUCGUAGAUAUUCGCAAGAACACCAGUGGCGAAGGCGGCCAACUGGUCCGAUACUGACGCUGAGGCGCGAAAGCGUGGGGAGCAAACAGG
rnacentral:rRNA from 1 species